AGCGAAGCUUUUUGGUAGUUUACUACUAGAAAUGACUGAGCGGCGAACGGGUGAGUAACGCGUGAGCAAUCUACCUUAGUUACUGGGAUAGCCCGAGGAAACUCGGAUUAAUACCGGAUAUUCUUAUUUUUUCACAUGAAGUUUUAAGGAAAGGUCAGCCGAACUAAGAUGAGCUCGCGUUCUAUCAGCUAGUUGGUGGGGUAAAAGCCUACCAAGGCUACGACGGAUAGCUGGUCUGAGAGGACGAUCAGCCACACUGGGACUGAGACACGGCCCAGACUCCUACGGGAGGCUGCAGCAGGGAAUAUUGUGCAAUGAGCGAAAGCUUGACACAGCGACACCGCGUGUGGGAUGACGGUUCUAGGAUUGUAAACCACUUUCAGGAGGGAAGAAAAUGACGGUACCUCCACAAGAAGACCCGGCCAACUAUGUGCCAGCAGCCGCGGUAAUACAUAGGGGUCAAGCGUUGUCCGGAUUUAUUGGGCGUAAAGAGCUCGUAGGCGGUUCAACAAGUCGGUCGUAAAAGUUUAGGGCUCAACCCUAAAAUGUCGAUCGAUACUGUUGUGACUAGGAUACGGUAGAGGUGAAUGGAAUUCCGAGUGUAGCGGUGAAAUGCGUAGAUAUUCGGAGGAACACCAAUUGCGAAGGCAGUUCACUGGACCGUGAUCGACGCUGAGGAGCGAAAGCUAGGGGAGCAAACAGGAUUAGAU
rnacentral:rRNA from 1 species